rnacentral:lncRNA from 1 species
CUUGUUAAUUAUUAUAUAGUCAUAGCAGGUUCUUUUUUAAUGUUCUAUCGUCAUAGAUGUAACUUGAUGAAUAGUUUUGAUAUAGUCAAAGCAGGUACUGGAUGGAUAUCAUAUGUUCAUAGCAGGUACUGGAUGAAUAUCCUAUAGUCAUAUAAAAAAGAAGAUGUGGUAUGAUUGCCAAUGAGACAACUAUCCACAAGAGACCAAAAUGACACAGACAUUAACAACUAUAGGUCACCGUACGGCCUUCAACAAUGAGAAAAGCCCAUACCGCAUAGUCAGCUAUAAAAGGCCCCGAUAAGACAAUGUAAAACAAUUCAAACGAGAAAACUAACGGCCUUAUUUAUGUAAAAAAAAAUGAAGAAAAACAAAUAUGUAACACAUAAACAAACGACAACCACUGAAUAACAGGCUCCUGACUUGGGACAAACACAUACAUAAAUAAUGUGGCGGGGUUAAACAUGUUAGCGGGAUCCCAACCCACCCCCUAACCUAGGACAGUGGUAUAUAACAGUACAACAUAAGAACGAACUAUAAAAAUCAGUUGAAAAAGCUUAACUCAUCAGAUGGACAAAAAUAUAAGUGGAAGUCAUAGCCGGUACUUGAUGAAUAUUCUAUAGUCAUAGCAGCUACUUGUUGGAUAUCCUAUAGUCAAAGCAGGUAGUGGCGGAUCCAGAACUUUUCCUUAAGGGGGGGCCCGCUGACUGACCUAAGGGGGGGCCGCUCCAGUCAUGCUUC